GCCAAUGAUUUCAAAAUUCAGUACAGCAGUGUUGUUCGCCUCUUUUUGCUUCCAAAGUCUAACCAGCCACAUACUUUUGUUAUUGUUAGUCUUGACCCUCCUAUCCGUAAGGGGCAAACUUUGUAUCCACACAUUGUGUUGCAGUUUGAUACUGACAAUGUGGUCCAAAACACUUUGUCAAUUAAUGAAGACAUUUUGAACACAAAGUACAAGGACAAAUUAGAAGCAUCUUAUAAGGGACUCAUUCAUGAUGUUUUCACAACGAUAUUGCGGGGCUUGUCUGGUGCUAAAGUAACUAAGCCAGGAAAAUUCCGUAGCUGUCAAGAUGG
rnacentral:misc_RNA from 1 species